rnacentral:lncRNA from 1 species
CUAUGAAAGGAUGGUGAGUAGUGUAUCUGCAAGCUUCUCUGACUUGGUUGCCGUGGGCAUAAAGGUCGAGCUUGGAUUGAAGAAUGGAAAAAUGAUAACCACCUCUGAAACAUCUGGUAAUAAUGCCAAAAAGUUUCCCGGAAGUUUCCAAAGAAAGAAAGAGGGUGAAACAAAUGCAGUGUCAACCAGUCAAAGGAGGAGUCUUUCAUGGAAGAAGCAACAUCAAUUUGCUCAGCAGCAAUCAACUUAUCCAGUGCAGUAUGUUCAACAACCGUAUGUGGCAGCAGUCACACCAAAUUUCAACCAGCCACAAGCUCCUGUC